CGCCAAAAAGAGAAAUGCUAGUAUACAUGACAAACGUUGUACGCGAGUGAACGAACUCUGUUCAGGACGAAAAACUAUGGAAAACCACAAGUUAUUUUCAGUGAUAUUGUAAAAAAGUUGAUUAGAAAACAAAACUUUAGAGUCAUGCACAUCAGUAGAGCUUGCCAAGCAAUCGAUCAUCACUCAGAAUACGGACCCCGCUCUCUCCUAGCUCGCCGUACAGGAUAAAGUUAACUAUGGACUGAGUACCCGCACCUGCUCUCAAACCGGUGACAACAGUAACUAGGUAGAAAUAGUCAUCAUCUUUGCUAUUGUCACAUAGGAUGCCCAGCGUCCACUAAAAAGAAAUAAAACUAAAAGACAGUAAAGGACAAGGAUUGCUAUGAUUGUCCCAUAUACCGCUGCAUUGCCUAUGUCAAAGUUAAGGAAUGCUGCAUCGAAGUCAAUGCUGUUGACAGCCAGAAAUGACGAACCGUA